rnacentral:misc_RNA from 1 species
GGAAGGUUGGGUUCUCCA